rnacentral:lncRNA from 1 species
CUCCGGGAGCUUGUGCAAUGUGAUACCAACUGCAGAUCUCGUCGUGAACAUAACCUCAGAACUGAAAGAUUAUAAAAAACCUGAAGCUGUGUUGGGACAAGGAACUGACAAAAAACUGCUCCCUGUUGCAUCUGGAAUUCAAACUCAUGUCUAUCUGAAUCCAGAGUCCGGAAUCUAAAUAUCAGACUGUGAUAAUGUACAGAGAUGGUAAAUACUGGUACACUCCACACAAGGCAAACCCACCUCCCCCCACAAAGAGGAAAAACUUUCUUUUUGGGGGACAAAUGCAUAUUUCGGGAUUGAAAACAUAUAGUAUAAAAACUAGUGUAGAAUAAAAAGAAAAGAUUAAGUUCACUCACUAAAGAUGAACUUACCAAUAUAAUAAGAUUGUCCUAUGUUUUGCCUGAAACUUUUUAUUUCUUGUCUUUGAUGAACAAGAGCUGUCAUUGAUCCAACAAAUAUUUACUGAGUAUUGACUUUGGCAAGAUGCCCCAUAGCCACGGAAGACCACCCUUUCCUCUUGAGAGGAGGGAUGUUAAUUCACAUAAACUUUCCUUUUCACCCUCAGGACAAGCGGAAGAUGACGGUUGCCAGACUGACCCAUUUCUUAGGUAAGAGCUCCCGGAUACAAAGAGGUAGAUUUCCGAGGCUAAUUGAGUAAGAUGCACAUGGCAAGGAACCUGCGGCCUAACUUAGGAUGUCAGUGAGAAGCCCUCGGUAAAUGCUAGUAAAUGAGAUUGCAUAGGAUUGGUUUGCCUGUGAAUAAAACAAGGCUUUCAUUUACUAAGUUUUGGAAAAAGUCUCUGAAGGCCAUGAAAACUGGGGAUUAGGGGACAUCAAUUAUACAUUUUUUUUUUUUCAUUACAAGUUUGCAAUCGCUUCCUGAAAAUGUGUUCGGAGCAGUCAUUCUCCAUUGUGGUGGAUUUUGCCUCUCGUGGAAUAUUGGAACCCGUCCGCAGCCUUUGUCCCAACGCUGGGGGAUGGCUCUAUGGGCAUCUAACGGAGGGGCACAGAAACGUAUUGUCUCACGGUUCUGGAAGCUGGAAGUCCAAGACCCUGGUAGCAGCAGGCUUGCUUCUUGCUGAGCUACUUCUCUCAUAG